GCCCGCCUGGCGCAAUGGCUAGCGCGCGAGACUUCUACUACAAUUAAUCUCGAGGCUGCGGGUUCGAGUCCCGCGGUGGGUU